rnacentral:rRNA from 1 species
CCUACGGGAGGCAGCAGUGGGGAAUAUUGGGCAAUGGGCGCAAGCCUGACCCAGCAACGCCGCGUGAAGGAAGAAGGCUUUCGGGUUGUAAACUUCUUUUCUCAGGGACGAAGCAAGUGACGGUACCUGAGGAAUAAGCCACGGCUAACUACGUGCCAGCAGCCGCGGUAAUACGUAGGUGGCAAGCGUUAUCCGGAUUUACUGGGUGUAAAGGGCGUGUAGGCGGGAAAGCAAGUCAGAUGUGAAAACCAUGGGCUCAACCUGUGGCCUGCAUUUGAAACUGUUUUUCUUGAGUACUGGAGAGGCAGACGGAAUUCCUAGUGUAGCGGUGAAAUGCGUAGAUAUUAGGAGGAACACCAGUGGCGAAGGCGAUUCUCUGGACUGUAACUGACGCUGAGGCUCGAAAGCGUGGGGAGCAAACAGGAUUAGAUACCCUGGUAGUC